rnacentral:misc_RNA from 1 species
GAUGAAGAACGCAGCGAAAUGCGACAAGUAAUGUGAAUUGCAGAAUUCAGUGAAUCAUCGAAUCUUUGAACGCACAUUGCGCCCCUUGGUAUUCCGAGGGGCAUGCCUGUUCGAGCGUCAUUAUAACCCCUCAAGCUCAGCUUGGUGUUGGGGCCUGCUGCACUGGCAGCCCUUAAAAUCAGUGGCGGCGCCAUCUGGCUCUAAGCGUAGUAAUUCUUCUCGCUAUGGAGUCCUGGUGGAUGCUUGCCAUCAACCCCCAAUUUUUCUAUGGUUGACCUCGGAUCAGGUAGGGAUACCCGCUGAACUUAAGCAUAUCAAUAAGCGGAGGA